CAUCACUUCGUCUUUCAUCACCACAAUCUCUCUCUCUCUCUCUCCCUUGAACUCAGCCGCGUCUCAUGGGGGGCGAAGAGAUAAGGGAAAGAGAAAAAAACCCUAGAUUAAAUUGCAGAUGGAAUUGAAGGGGCUCCUUUUUUGAGGGGAAUGUUGUCUGGCUCGAGGACUCUGCUCUUCUUCUCCUUCAUCAUCAUGAAUCGUUUCUUCGAUUAACGCAAGUAAUCGGAGAUUCGAUUCGAGAUCUGAAAAUAUUAGGGUUUUAGCGUCGUCGGACCAGGCUUCAUUCCCCCCAAUUAUUGCGUCUAGAGAACUUUUCGUUCUAGGGUUUCUAUCUGGGCAUCCAUGUAAAAGGUUCGAUCUUUAUCACUUUUCGUGAACCAAAACCCGAUCUUUGUGAUUGUUUUGCAGGUAAAAAGCGCACUUCGAUGGUGGGCUGUUCAAGAUCUUUGGGUGCGAAAACUAAAAAAUUCAGGUCCGUUAUAUGGUUUUCAGAUUGGGGCAAUGAUGAGGGAAUCUGACUUUCUUUCCCCUCCCCUCUGAGAUGCAGAAAAGGUUUUCAUCAUUACGGCCUUUUUCUCAUGUCUUCUUUCAUGGCUUAUUAUUAUUCGCUAUGAUUUUGUCAUCAUUGCUUUUUCCUGUCAGACCGCAAUUAACCUAAUAUAUAUGGAUCUCGUGUGGUCAUGAAUGAUGAUUGUCUGUUUGUUUUUGUUUCACUUCAGAUCUGUCUGUUUCUCAUCUAACAUCCAGAGAUCUACCAGAUCUGAAGAUUUCAGAGAUUAAUGCAACGAAUCCUAGCAUGAUGAGUAAUCUGGUUGCAUAGGAUCCGACCACCCCCUCUCUUGCCUUUGCUAGUUAGCCAAUUUUGUGUAUCUAUUUGUUAAAUCUUUUGUAUUAUCUCCCCCUUGUUAAAAGAAAUUUAACCUUAUCGGCAUUUGCCCACCUGAUAAUAUUCAAGUAUAUAUAUGUUGAUAUGCGGUCGACAAUUUUGGAGAUGUAAUACAAUAAUCAUUAAAUAAGAGUAUGAGCUUAUAACUUGUAAUA